rnacentral:rRNA from 1 species
CCUGGCGGACGCCUACCAUGCAAGUCGCAACGGUUAAGCUCCUUCUGGUGUGUAUAUGUGUCCAACUGCUGAUUAACACGUGGGCGACCUACCUCUUGCUUCAGGAUAGCCUCAGGAAACCGUGGGUCAUACGCGAUACUCCGUAACCCCCCCUUGAAGGAUACUGCAAACCUUUUACUGGUUGAUAUGGGCCCGCCGCCUGUUAGCUUGUUUGUGGGGUAACUGCCUACCGACGAUAUUAUGGGCUAGCUGGGUUGAGAGACCCCACCACUCCCAUUGGGACUGACACUCGGCCCUAACUCCUACUGGACGCAGCCCUGGGGAAUCUUGUCCACUGGGCUAAAGCCUGAUGCCGCAACGCCACGUGCUUUCAUAAAGGCCCUAUGGGUUGUAAACCGCUUUCAGAACGGAAGACGCCGCUCGGUGACGGUACCUGCAUAAUAAGCCCCGGCUAACUACUUGCCAGCAUCCCCGGUAAU